UAGGGACCUAAACACCUAAUGGGUGUCUGCUAUGACCAGUAUUAUUAUUAUAGUCCGGAUCUAUUUAUUGAGCUCCUGCUCUACACCAUCAGGCCCUAUGCUGAGGACUUUACACGCAUUUUUCAUCACCAUCCUCACAAUAACUCUAUGAUAUAAUGAAGGGAUUAUUAGCCUUCAUCCUAUAGACGAGGAAAACGAAGUUCAGAUAAGGGAAGGCACAAGUCCGCUACCACAAACUGUAGCUUAGGACUUGAAAUCUGUUGGCUCCCAAUUUCACGCACCCACACCCUGAUCUUCCGUAUCAAACACAAACAUCAUCAACAAUACUAACAAUAACAGUAUAGCAAAGAAGUGUGCAGUGUGCCAGGCGCUGAGCUAGGGCUCCGACAAGCACAAGCUGACUUCUCACUCUCAACCCAUAAAGAGGAUGCUAUAGUCACAUCCUGACCCCCAUUCUACAGAGCAGGAAACUGAGAUUCAGAGAAAGAAACCGCUUGUCCAGAGUCGCACGGCGGCGCCAGGACUGACUCCGGAAUCCCGGGGCGCCAUUCAUCUCCACCGCAUCCAACCCAUAUCCACCACCCCUGGCCCGCGCCUCACCUGGCCCUCGGGGCCCGCGCCCCCUCGCGCCUCCCGCCCUCCCGGCGGCGCCAACUGUCAGACCCACCUCCCUCGGCCCGGCUGCCCGCCCCGGAAGCACCGUUCUCGCCGCCGGAAGACGGGCUUACCCGCCCGCGGCCGCUCUAGCCCACGGGAGAGUCACCAGCGAGAGCGCUAGGGCAACCAUCACGUGACUAUCCGCAGUCUCCCAGGCGCUUCCCCCGCCCGGCGCUAGCGAGGAGCGCGGCCAAUGAGAAAAGCAUUGCUUGGCCCCCGCGGGUCCGCAGUCCAGCCGGAGUGCGCCUGCGCGCGGCGGGUUGGGGGCGGGGGCGCGCGGGGCUCCAGCCUAGAAGGCACCAGCGGGGCUGGGUCCCGGAGUGGGAAAACUGGAGUGCAGGGCAAAUAAAAGGCAAACUUGUUUCCUGCGCCAUGCCUCCCCUCCCCCACCCUUGGACCCUGCGGUCAGCCUUAUCGAAGACUGUUACCUUCUGCUUCUCUUGGUGACCUACGGAGAUCAGAUAAGCUUGAUCUGUUGCUAUUCUUUGCUGGAUCCAUACUCUUUUUGGCUGGCUCCCUGUGAUGGGGUGGGGGUGGGGUGGGGGUGGGGGCAUCCCUACUUGUGCUCUUCUGCCUUUAACCAAACUGGGAUCAGACGUUGAGGGGGAAGGGGUUUUCAAAUUAUCCUUUCAGGUCUAGGCUGGAUCUUGCGGUGAGUGGUGAACCAAACUCCCUUUUGGAAUUUUCUUUUUUUUUAAAUCACAUUAAUGCGUGGAAUGAAUUUUUAAAAACCUGACAAAACCUGGGACGCGUCAACACCUGUGUUCACUUUAUAAUUAUUUUUUUAACCCGCACAGAGAUAUUUUUCUCUUCUGUAAGUCGCUCAUAUUUCACGAUUUUAAAAAAGAAAAUAGGCGUAGGAUAAAAAGCGAUCCUGACGCACCCCCAAAUCCUGUUGUCAAGGCAACCACUUCUGACGCUGUUUCUUCUUUCAAUAAUAACCCUUCUCUACCUUUGUGCACUUCCUGCCUGGGUAGGGGAAAGGGGGUCCUGCCCCUCUUUCAUUGAGAGAGGUGGGCGGGAAAGGGGGAAUCCCUCCAACUUAUUUCUACAGCUGUGGCCUUAAAUUCUGUUUCGGAGAUACGAGAUGGUAGAUGGGAAACCCUCUUUAUCCCUUUAGCUGGAGCCUGGAUUUUUUUUUUAACACCAAAAACAUUCUGUAUUGGGAUAUAGUCAAUUAACCAUGUUGUGGUAGUUUCAGGUGAACAGGGAAGGGGCUCGGUCACACAUAUACAUAUAUCCAUCCCCCCCCCCGCACACACACACUGGUAAGAAACAUUUUUUAAAUCCCUAUCAAAAUAUCAGUUGGCCUUUUUAAAAAAUUAAAUAGAGACUUCAAUACAGACUACAACAGAAAACCCACCAUCCCCUUAUCGCACACCCCGCGCUCUUCCCCUCCCAUAGCGUGGGUGGGCUGCGUCUUUUGAUUUUAUGGCUACAUCCCUAAAUCAUGUUGUUCAGCCUUGGUCAUUCCAUUUUAUUUUAUAAUUUUAAAAAUCAUUAGUCUUAUUUAUGUAUUUAUUUUUGACUAGGUAAUACAUGCCCACGGUACAAAUAUUCACAGGGUUUAGAGCCGAGAAAAGAUGGGGGGGGGUCUCUUUUUUCUCUUUACCUGAGUCCUCCCUAGCCCAUAUUGGGGGGGGUGCUCUAGGAUGGAGCGUAGCAAAGCAAUCGCUCAGACCUGUGC
ensembl:lncRNA